CCUUGUUACUCAGCUAUAAAAACUUCCCAUCAGGCUGUCAGUGGAGUUCACAGCACGUCAGUUUCAACAUAAACCAUGUUUUCUGUAGCUCUGCUGCUGCUGUUGGCAGCUGGAUGUGUGAAGUGUGAACAGCUGACACAGCCAGCCUCUGUGACUGUGCAGCCAGGUCAACGUCUGACCAUCACCUGUCAGGUCUCUUAUUCUGUUAGCAGCUAUCGCACAGCUUGGAACAGACAGCCUGCAGGGAAAGGACUGGAGUGGAUUGGAAGUGGACAUGUUGGAUACACAACAUAUUACAAAGAUUCACUAAAGAACAAGUUCAGUAUCGACUUAGACUCUUCCAGCAACACAGUGACUCUAAACGGACAGAAUGUGCAGCCUGAAGACACUGCUGUGUAUUACUGUGCCAGAGAGCCACAAUAACACAAACCAUCAGUAGACCUGAACAAAAACCCCUCAGUGCCUGAACACUUGUAACAUGAAGCCACCAGAGGAGGAGCCCUCAGACCACUGAUGGUUUCAACACCA